rnacentral:rRNA from 1 species
AUUGAACGCUGGCGGCAGGCCUAACACAUGCAAGUCGAACGAGCGGCGGACGGGUGAGUAAUGUAUCGGAACCUGCCCGAUAGCGGGGGAUAACUACUCGAAAGGGUGGCUAAUACCGCAUAAUAUUGGAUGAACCGAUAUGGGAUUAGCUAGUUGGUGGGGUAAAGGCUCACCUAGGCAACGAUCCCUAGCUGGUGUGAGAGGACGAUCAGCCACACUGGGACUGAGACACGGCCCAGACUCCUACGGGAGGCAGCAGUGGGGAAUUUUGGACAAUGGGCGCAAGCCUGAUACAGCCAUCCCGCGGGUAUGAAGAAGGCCUUAGGGUUGUAAAGUACUUUUAGCAGAGAGGCGGUAUCCGCAGAAUAAGCACCGGCUAACUCCGUGCCAGCAGCCGCGGUAAUUC